rnacentral:rRNA from 1 species
GACGAACGCUGGCGGCGUGCUUAACACAUGCAAGUCGAACGGAAAGGCCCUGCUUUUGUGGGGUGCUCGAGUGGCGAACGGGUGAGUAACACGUGAGUAACCUGCCCUUGACUUUGGGAUAACUUCAGGAAACUGGGGCUAAUACCGGAUAGGAGCUCCUGCUGCAUGGUGGGGGUUGGAAAGUUUCGGCGGUUGGGGAUGGACUCGCGGCUUAUCAGCUUGUUGGUGGGGUAGUGGCUUACCAAGGCUUUGACGGGUAGCCGGCCUGAGAGGGUGACCGGCCAAAUUGGGAAUACGAUACGGCCAGACCCCAUAGGGGGGGAAGAGGGGGGAAUUUUGGACAAAGGGGGGAAGGCGUGUCGAACCACGCCGGGGGGGGGGAGGGGGCCUUGGGGGUGGAAACCGCGUUGCGCCGGGAAAAAAGGGGGGGUGAGGUAAGGGGAUAAAAAACACCCGCAAAACUAGGUC